UUGUGUUAGGGAUAGAAGUAGAAAGCCCACAGUGAGGAACGAACGAGGACUUGGAACGUAUAGCCCGACCCGGA
rnacentral:sRNA from 1 species